rnacentral:rRNA from 1 species
UACGGUGGUCAUAGCGAAGAGGUCACACCCGUUCCCUUUCCGAACACGGAAGUUAAGCUCUUCAGCGCCGAUGGUACUGCAUGGGAGACUGUAUGGGAGAGUAGGUCGCCGCCGGUC